CCUGCAGGCUGUGGGUAUGUGCUGCCCCCUUACUCCUGGCGCGGCGACUGCGUCAAAUGCAACACACAGUGGCAAGUGCUCUGAAAUCCUGAUGCUGACUGCUGACUCCCCUUCGUCCCGUAGUGUGAGUGUUAAUGGUCUGCUUCUGAGCCUGCCCCUCUGUCUUCCUGGCUUCCUGUUUUGAUCGUUUACGUGUCGUCCUUGCUACAGGCUACUCAGGU